rnacentral:lncRNA from 1 species
AAAAAUACAAAGAAUGAUGAAUUUCUUUUAUUGAAUCUGAUAUAAAAAAAGAAUUAUACAAAUGAUGAAUUCCCGAGAAUACAAUGCAGUUGUUCCCAUUAAUGGGAUUUGUACUGCUCUCUGGUGUGAGAGAAAAAUCAAUGAAUAAGAUAAGUAACAAGCAGGGCUACAAUCAUCAGGGCAUAAGCUAUCCCUUGAUCCAUCGCCUUGCCGUCGCUUGUUGGAGAGGGUGCCAUGGCUUGGCCACGGGCGAGCUCCAUAAGCCCAGACAAGAAGAAGGCGACGAAGAGCAGAGCAUACACUUUCACGGCAACCAUCUUCUGAACAACCAGAAAAUACAACUGGAUGAAAUGAGUGGAAGGACAAGUUAGCGAGGUAGAAGAGAUGUCAGAAGCCUUUGCUAAGAGAGCUGAGAGAAAAGAAGAGNNNNNNNNNNNNNNNNNNNNNNNNNNNNNNNNNNNNNNNNNNNNNNGGUUGGUCAGCAGUAAGAGUUCUUUAGGCCACCAAGUUUGAAAUAUAAGAUUACCAAGGAAAAAAGACUGUGGACUAGCAAAGGGAGAACAAGCUUUAGGCCUAUAACGAUUUGUUGGUUGCAGCCAUUGGAUCCAGUGCUUUGAAUGUUAUCAUCAUCAGCCUCUGAAGCGUCGAAAUUUUUCCUACCAAUUAUUAUCAGAGGAGGAAGCUUCGUUGGUCCUUUCGAGAGGAGUGUUAUUCUCUUGAAUUGACCACGCCGUCAUUGGAGACGCCAAUUAUGAGCGAAGGGUUGGGCGUUCUGACAAUUGCAUGCCGCGCGUCGACAAAUAGGAGCAGUUGGCUCCGUCAAGGGAGCGAGCUCAGACAACCGACCGUUCCAACCCUCCUAAAAAGGAAAGAAAAANNNNNNNNNNCUAAGCCGGCCGAAGACCAAACACUCGACGUGCUGACUGCUGACCUCGAUAUUUGCACCAAAUUAUCAGCCUCUCACUUCAUCUCGUGCAUUCCGUUUAUUUUUGGUUGCGUUACAAUUGAAUUAAAGUGCCUGGUACAUUGCAGGUACCCUGCACAACGAGAAUCCUUCAACCCAUACGUUAUCUUAGGAAGAAAUUGCCAAGGUCCGUGCGUAUACAUAUUUAGUAUUAUAUCGAUUAUUUAUAAAAAAAUAUCUUCUAACUAGCUUUUUUGGAUGAGGUAUUAGAUUGUGACAAAUAGUACUGGAGCGGAUCCGGCCCAUAGCUUAUAUGGACUAGGAGACAUUAAUUGCAGCACACGCUUAUUGAGACUGACCAUGAAUCGAUCAUGGUGCUUAUGAUUAGAUUUGAAUGGAUUUAAAUCCUUGAUACGACAAGGAUGUCAUAGCUUAAACCAGAGAGUAUGUGAGGACCUAUGUGAACGUGUGUUUAGUCUUACAUUGGUUAUUCGUCGGAGAGAUCUUAAAUACUUAUAUAGGACUAAGAAAUACAAGAAGUGAAGUACAUUCUCACUAGCUUUUUUGGAUGAGGUCCUGAGUUGUGACAAAUAGUAUUAUAGUGGAUCCGGUCUAUGGUCUAUAUGGACUAGGGAAUACUGCAACAUGGGUUCAUUGAGAUUGACCACAAGCCGAUCGUGAUGUUUGUGAUUAGUUCUACAUCGGUUAUUCGUUAGGAAGAUCUUGGGUAUUUUAAAAAUUAUUUUUUGACUAAUUUUUUGUAUGAGAUUCUGGAUUGCGACAGAAUUAAUCACUCAUAAAUGGUGGGGUAAAAAAAUUUUUCUCCUUUUUUUUUUGACAUUUAGGAGGAUCAAUUUAGCAAUUGGAGAUCCCAAGAGGACCAAAAGUGAGCCUUUAUAUGCAAAGAAGUACAAGAAUAAGAGGUGGUAGUAACAAGGGGUUGAGGAAAGGGAAGGUGGGGAGGAGGGGGAAGAUAGAUCGGGACACGAGGUGUUAGUUUUUCCUAGUCCCCUUUGAAUCAGGAACAUUUUGAUUGGAGGACGGCGCAACUGAUUUUUUUAAUUAGAAGAGGUACACCAAAAGAGAUAUAGAAAUUUUAAGAGAGAAGGCCGCAUAACUCAAAUUUGAAAUAGUUACAAAAUAAUAAAGAGUUUAAUCAAUUAACAAAUAAAAAUUAAUAGUUUAAUGAAUAAAUGAGUAAUUUGGAUAACUUCGUGAAAAUAACCAAAACUUAAGGAUGACUAAAAUUUUUAUUUACUUUUAAGACUGCUUUUUAUGUCUAAGAAAAAAAAUUUGCUUCAAAUGUCGCCUCCUAGUCCAACUCCCUCCCAGAUCAACUAUUUGAAACCAUAAAACUCUUCCCUUCCUUGGUCCGCUUGUUCAAACAAAGACUCUCUCUUUCUAAAAUUUCAAGUUAAACUAAACCACAUCGACUAUAGGUUGGAAUUUUGAGCUGGUCUUUAGCUUAUCUUAAUUGAAUAUUUGAUUUUAGGGCCAUACUUUUAUAUACGUAGUACUUUAUCCUUGCUUCAUUACCUCUCUUUCUUUAUCCCAUCCACUAGAUUAUAUCAGCUCUUGAUUCUAUCCCUCAUUAUAAGGCACAAUCCUUUCCGCUACUCAACCGAUGUGGGACUAAAUCCCGAGCUCUCUUCUGCCUCUCAAUACUAGCUCCCCUAGCAGGAAGAAUUCGUGCGGAGGAGUUUCUGGGGAGCCCUUCCUCUUGCGCCAUCUGUUAGAGCAGAAAAUGGAGCUGCGUCCCAAUGCAAGGUAUUGUCCAUUUUGGAAAAGUAUGUACGUGGUUUACAUCGUGCGCAGCUCGUACACGGUAAUUUUUUUCUCACGGCUUUGUCCCACAAGGGGCACCUUGACUAGGAAGGAGAGUGCUGGAGCAGCUCAGCCUGGCUAGAGCAAGGUAUUGUCCGCUUUGGGGGAGUACAUAUGUGCUUUACAUCGUGUGCAGCUCGUGCACAGCAAUUUCUCUCCCACGGCUUUGUCCCACAAGGGGCGCCUUACGAGGGAAGGGGUGACCCCUCCUUAUAAGGCAUAAUCCUUUCCGCUCCUCAACUGAUGUGGGACUAAAGUUCUGAGCUCUCCUCCCUCGAAACUUCUCCGUACGAAUCCUUCUUGCUAGGGGGGCUAGUAUUGGGGGCGGAGGACAGCUCGGGACUUUAGUCCCACAUCGAUUGAGCAGCGAAAAUGAUUAUGCCUUAUAAGGAGGGGUCACCCCUUUCCUCGCAAGAUGCCCCUUGUGGAAUAAAGUCGUGAGGGAAAAAUCGCCGUGCACGAGCUGCGCAUGAUGUAAAGCACGUGCGUACUCGUCCAAAGCAGACAAUACCUUGCUCUAGCCAGGCUGAGCUGCUCCAGCACUCUCCUUCCUAGUCAAGGCAUCCCUUGCGGGACAAAGCCGUGAGGGAGAAAUUGCCGUGUACCAGCUGCGCACGAUGUAAAGCACAUGCGUAUUUUCCCAAAGCGGACAAUAUCUUGCUCCGGCUGAGCUACUCCAGCACUCUCUAUCUAUAAGGCGUCUUUUAAAAGACAAAGCCAUGAGGAGAAAAUUGCCGUGCACGAGUGGCACACGAUGUAAAGCACGUGCGUACUUUCCCAAAACGGACAAUACCUUGCGCUAGGACGCAAUCUUAUUUUCUGCUCUAACAUAUGGCACUAGAGGAAGGGCUCCUCCGAAAGUUUUCCGCGCGAAUCCUUCCUGCUAGGGGGGCUAGUGUUGGGGGGGGGGGUGGGCGGAGAAGAGCUCGGGACUUUAGUUCCACAUUGGUUGAGUAGCGGAAAUGAUUGUGUCUUAUAAGGAGGGGUUACCCAUUUCCUCGGUUGAGUAGAGGAGGUCUAACUCAUGGCUUAUGUAGACUAGAAUAUAUUGCAACACAGGCUCAUCAAGGCUGAUUAUGGCCUAUCAUGAUGUGCUUAUUAUUAGAUUUGAAUUAAUUAAAAUUUUUCAACCAUUGUUUUUUGGGGAGAUUAGGGGUUGUUACACAUCACAAAGGAGGGAGAAGAGCUUAUCCAAAGUACAUAUCACUAAUGCAUAUGGGUGUUCUAAAUCGCUCUCACGGGGAAAACUUUGUGCAAAAGAUCUGGCCAUGCCAAAUCUUCGUACUAAUAUCUAUAGUAUAACACGGAAGAGAAGCCGCUCCCUCUUGGGCAAGUCUGAUGGGAUCCCUGGCCUACUUUGGGCUACAGAAGGAGCUGAACUUUGAACCAACCGGAGAACAACAAACCUCAUUCCAACAUCAAGGUCUUUCUGACACAAACCAAUCAUCUAGCCGUAGGUUCGCUUGAAUGAACAGUACAAUAUAAGAAACAAAGACUUUUUAUAACAAUGAUGAAAUAAAAAUACAAAGAAUGAUGAAUUUCUUUUAUUGAAUCUGAUAUAAAAAAAAUUAUACGAAUGAUGAAUUCCCGAGAAUACAAUGCAGUUGUUCCCAUUAAUGGGAUUUGUACUCCUCUCUGGUGUGAGAGAAAAAUCAAUGAAUAAGAUAAGUAACAAGCAGGGCUACAAUCAUCAGGGCAUAAGCUAUCCCUUGAUCAAUCGCCUUGCCGUCGCUUGUUGGCGAGGGUGCCAUGGCUUGGCCACGGGCGAGCUCCAUAAGCCCAGACAAGAAGAAGGCGACGAAGAGCAGAGCAUACGCUUUCACGGCAACCAUCUUCUGAACAACUAGAAAAUACAACUGGAUGAAAUGAGUGGAAGGACAAGUUAGCGAGGUAGAAGAGAUGUCAGAAGCCUUUGGUUAGAGAGCUGAGAGCAAAGAAG